GGCUACAGUAUGUGGCCCAGUUUCGGGUCAUUUCAGGUUUGAACUGCUAUAUCUUCCUUUUCAGGAAAGGUACGAUUUUUAAAUGCUCACUUGAGAAUAGGAAAGGUGUUUCUUAACAAUAUUUCAAAAGAUUGACUUUUCUUACCUUUCACUUUUAGAAUUAUUUAUAUUUUUAAGAAUCAUUUUAGGUGCCCAGUAUCGGGUCAACUGCACCAGUAUCGGGUCACUUCAAGUUUCUUUGUUUAUUGUAGAAAAGCGUUUGUUUUACGGAAAUUUUCGAUCAUUUUGUAUAGUUUCAACAUGUCUUAAGUUAUUAACAAUUUUUUUGUGAGGUUUUGACAAGGUUUAGACAUGAUAUUUCCAGCUUGAAACUACCUCUUCUACACAGUUUUUGCGGAGUGCGUUCUAAGCAGUGCUUCCACUUUCAGAGGUUGAAACAUAGCUGACCCGAAACUGGGCCACAAAGCCAAACUAAAACGUAAUUUGUGGGACCAGAAUAUAUCUCUAAAAUUCUGAAUAAUUGAAUUGCCAUUUCAUAUUUAUAUAUUCUCGGCAAUAAUCUAUCGUUAGGACAAAAUUGAGUAUGUUACAUGGAGAAUUACAUAUCAAUAAUACGAUUUAUUGUUAUUAGUUAAUUUUACUGCGCAGUGAAAUGAACAAAUUUUAGUAAAAGAAUAUAAACAUACCCGGACAAAAGGGAUUCUUCUUUGAAUACAGUUCAACUAAAAAGCCUGCGAAAACUAUCAUCCAAAAAAGGAAAGGUUUACCAUUAUAUCUAUAUAUUUUAUUUCGCGUCGCUUUUUAUCUCGGCGGAAAAAAAUGAAAUCAAAUUUCUAUUGACCCGCUACUGGUACUGAC